CUGGGAUGAGCCCGUGAAGCCAUUGCUGCUCAGCAUUCCUGGAGGUAUAACACACAGGUUGUGACAAGAUUUACUUGCAGCUUCAGAAGUCUAAGAUAUAUAAACAGGACCAGGUUAACAGAUCCAGGAGGGAAACCCAGGCAUCAUCCCUCUCCCCAGCAAAACUCGCUGGCUCAUUCUAGGGAUCCCGAGGCGUACCAAGCCCAGAAAAGAUUUACAGUGCGGCCACUUCUGGGCAUGUCCUGGAUCGACGGCAGCGCCUCCCAGCAUCCGUGUCUGGAAAACUUCCAAAGAGAGGCGCACCGGGAUACAUUUUUAUCUACUUUUAAUGUGGUGGAAGAUCAGGUCUAAUCCAAUACCCUCUGCCCCUAUAAACAUGGACGACAUAAGUGGACUCCCAUAACCUCUUCAGCAACUCCACAAGGGCAAAAAUCUGGUCCGCUGUUCCAUAGCCAGGACAAAUUCACUCUGAUCCUCAUGAGCCUGAAGUAUCUUUAAAUCCAUUUGCUUCUAUUUCUUUAAAGUAAAUUUCGGUAUUUAUAAAUGAAAUUGUGGGCGGUUUGGCCUCCACAUUUCUUUGCAAGUAUUUCUAUCGUAAACACUUAAAUGAACAUGCUUGGUGAGAUGGUGGUAGUGGGGUGUUGACUGCGGGGAGAGGACACAGAGUGGGAAUGGGGUGGCUCAGGGAAAACAACAUUUCAGGGCAUUCAGCAGGAAUCAUGCCCCAAUACUGCCAAAUCACAUCAGCAGUGCUGCCAAGCCCAUCAUGACUUCUGUGCUCGAGGAUGUGUGCGAGUGAAUGAGGGUGAGGGGAAUGAUUCAAAUAGUAAGUAGGACAAAUAAGGGUUACUGUGCAGCCAUGGAGCCUUACUGUCUUACUGAAGCUGUGCUGCUGGAUGCUCUUUUUCCCAGACAAACCAAUUUUUCAUCCAUUGCAAAAUAAGUUGGCAGGGUGCACAAAGCUAAAUAUUUGAACACGCCCCAGUGCCGCACCCGAGAAAUGGGGGCAGGUUGCGACUACCGCUGCGAGACAGAGAAAAGGAGGACAUUGUUUUUUCUCCUCUGGGUGCAGAAGAUCUCCAUCUGUGCAAAAAUAGGUUUACAGAGCUUUGAUUUGCACUCAGAGUUGGCGAUUAAUGUCUGACUGAGUAAAUCUGACAUUCAGCAGGAUAAAUCUCCACACGCAGAAAGAGCAGCAGUCAUUAGAAAACAAGAGAAUGAAGGUAUCAACCAUGUUACGCUGAGGGAUCCAAGUCAGCAGGGUGCAGAUGGGAAUAUUAAUCUCCACGGGUCCUCUCUAUCGUCUCCCCCUCUUCUCUUUCUGUUAGGAAAUUAUAGUAAUGUAUCCAGCCUGUACUGUAUAAGCCAAUCGAUUUAUUCCUGUCACAAUUAAUCACCUACUGUUUUACUUUGCUUCAAGGAGUAAGCAAUAUACAGGAGGAUCCUUCUUUAACUGCAGAAAACAGUGUAACCACAGCGAAAGCUGAUUUAUAUCCUUAUAUUUUACGGCCUUCUUUUUUUAUUAUUAUUAGGGUCAUUGUCCUGCUGGAAGGGAAAUCUCUUUUUGCAACCUCUAACAAGUAUUCUUGAGAAUUUUCAUGUCUUAGCUCCAUCCAUCUUCCCUUCAACUCAGUCCAGAUUCUCUGUCCCACCUGAAAAUAAUUAUCCAUACACUGUGAUUCUGCCAGCAUUUGGGUCUCUUUUUUUUGGCAUUUGUGUGUCUACCUGAUGUGUAAAGUUAGUUUUCUACUACAUAUGUAUAUUGUAUUAAAGCCAAAAUGUUCAGUUUUGGUCCCAUCUGACCAAAACAUGUUCUACCACAUAUUUACUAUGUCUUCUACAUUGCUUGUGGCAAAUUGCAAGCUGAAUUUUUUUUUUCUCCAGUAUUUGGAUUUCUUCAUGCCAGUAUUCCUUAAAGGUCAGAGUUAUUGAGUCCAUAAAUAAUAAUAAUAGUUUUCAUGCCUACAGAUUAUCCCAUCUGAACUCUGAAUCUCUGCAGUUCCCCCAGGAGCCUCUUGGCUAAUUUUCAGACUAAUACUCUCCUUUUCCCGCCAGUCAGUUUAGUUAGACAGGCACAUAGGUAUAAAGUUGAGCUACACUCUGAUUUUAAAGAUGGAGUUUUAUAACAACAAAAUUUUGAUUAUUCUGAGAAUAAAUUGUCUCUAUUUACUAAUUAGUCGAUGUCUGACAGGAGAAUAUUGCUUUAAGUUUAGGGGUAGCAGAAUAAAGAGAGCUGAAUACAAAUACACACCUCACUUUUUAGAUUUUACUUAAUUUUCCUUCAUAAUUAUACCUUACUUUGCGUUGGUCUAUUGCAUAAAAUGACAUCUAUUGCAUAAACCACACUAACAAUUGUUGUACCGUGAUAAAUGUAAAAAAGUACAAUGGGUGUGAAUACUUUUACAGAGGGUGUGAACACUGUUACCUGUCGACUGCCUAACCAAGCCAAAAAAUGGAUGAAGUCAACCAAAUAAACAUUAAAACCAGUCAUCGACUUCCUCCAUCUCAGCUGCACUGUUACUGACGCCUCAGCGGCUUUGAUUGGAAACAGCCGUGAUGAUAAUGUUGAACGACAAGCUGAUUUGAUCUGAGAUAAUAAAACUCAAUGAACACAAUGAAAACGGUUUGGGGUUUCCACAGCGUCACAUGGAGGGAGUUUUUUUGGGUCACAUGACUGUCAGCUCGUCUUACUGUCACAUGGAGACCGAGGGAGAUGACAGUAGCAAUUCAGAGUGAGUCAGAUUGCCCAUUCCUUGGCCAAUAACCACAGCCUCUUCAUAUUAGAUCAGAUAUUGAGAGACACCCACAGGAACAGCCUCACUGGUCAAUAUGUGGGUUAUCAUACUGGGCUCAGCCUACAUAACAGAGUCAGGAAUUAGUCUACAAAUUUACAGUAGGUGAGGUUUCUCGUAUAGCUCGUUUAAAAUCCUUCCCAAGGCUUUUGCUUCAUUCAAGGACUUUUUAUUUCAUAUUGUCAUAUUGCAGGGGGACGUUCUGCUUCAGGUGUAUUUCCUGUCACAGAUAGCCUUACAUAUUCCUGACGCAACCUCUGAAAGCAGGCAAAAUUUAUUGUGCCAUUAUAAUCCUGGGUCUUUGGUUCUACUGUGUUUAUGUUCCUUAUUAUUUCCCAAAUAUAUUGAUUGGAUGAACUUGCUUGGACGCUACUUGAAAAGUCCUCCAACUUGAAAUUAUUCCCAAUUCUUUCCUUUAUAAAUCCCUUUCCAGACUCACGAAUUGCUUCAAUGUUUUUUUCUGAAGCCCUCAGAUGACUCGUUUGAUCUCAACUUGGUGUUCACUCUAAGGGUCAAAAGCACAACAAACUAGAUGUCUGAGGUAUAAAAAGGGCAAAGUUUCCAAAUGCUUCAUAUUCAUAUACUGUGGGAUCUGCCUUUAUUGAAUUUUAGCAAUUUUGGGGGGGAAUAUAUGUGAGACUGUCAAAAUUAAUUUUUACCCAGAAAUGUUUUAAAUUAGAUUUUACAGAAAAUGUUCAAAUGUAUUUUCUUAGUUUUAUUGUUUACAGCUAAUAAGAUCCACAUUUCUUAUUAUUGUUACAGGUCAUAUUAACUAUUCAUACAUAAAUAUCCAAAUAUAAAAAAUGUCACAUAGCACACCUUUUUUUCACAUCCAGCAUAAAUGAUCACAUCAACUCUUAAGAAUGGCCAACUUUACCAUAUUAUUUCUGAGACCUUCAUCCCAGACUUCAGAGAACUAAGAACAGCUCCUAAACUCAAAGGUCAGUAAACACCAGGAGGGAAUUUAUCUGAAGGGUGGGUGGUAGCUCUUUUAUGAUGGGUUGGCGAGGGUGAAUAAUGCAGCAAAGUGUCCUCUCCACUAUCCAUCCAUCCAUCCAUCCAUUUUCUAACACCCUUGUCCCUAAUGGGGUUGGGAGGGGUGCUGGUGCCUAUCUCCAGCUAACGUUCCGGGCGAGAGACAGGGUACACUUUGGACAGGUCGCCAGUCUGUCGCAGAUCCUCUCCACUAUAAAGUAUUCAUUCACUGCACAAUGUAUAGUUUUAGGGAACUGAAUGUGUGUCAUUCUCAUUACAACAGUGAAAAUUUCCAGCUAAGAUCAUGUUCAGGAGAUAGAGUUGUGCAACUCGUACGAAAGAGUUCUGCAACCCAAGGCAAUGGAAAGAACACGUGGAUUGUGCGUCAUCCAUGAGUGAGCAAAAGCCUUGGUUUCUGUCUUGUAAAAAUAGUGGCAGUAUGAAAUAACAAACUCAGCACUGAAGAGAAGGGCUUCACUGACACAAAGUGUGGCUGGUCUCAAGGCAGCAGAGGCACAGCGUCCUUGGUCUCGGAUCUUGGCACAGCUAUGUGUUGUCUUAUACUUCCUAAGCUUCAAUGACAUGACAACCAGAUGCGCAAUGGGAAAAAAAAGGACAAACUAAUAUACGUUUUUCAGCGCCUCAGUCUCAGUCGAAUUAAUGGGCUGUAAUUAGAGUUUCUUUUAAACUGCCUCUCUGCUAGAUGUGAACAUUAAAAAGAGAUUUUUCUGCCUGAUUUGACUUUUAAGGUUUUACCUCACUGACGAGAAAACAAACUUUCAAAAAGUGGAGCUACAGAAUGUAUUAUCAAAAUAAUUAUCAUAUAUGUGACUUUAUUAGAAAUUCCAUGUACCCUUUUCUUCUAAAUAACAAUCUUCCCAUGAUUGCAACAUUUUUGUAUUAUGGUAAUCCUUUUUUAUUGCUCUUAUUUAAUAUUCAAAUUAAUUUGGAAAAUUCAUUUUGUUUUUCCAUGUAGCUUACAUUGAUUAAAUGUAAGCUACAUUCAUCAAAGUUACCUGAGGCAAAUCAUUAAAACCAGUCUGUGUGUAUACUAUAUGUCAUCAUUUCUAUACUAUAUGAUUUUAGUUUACUUGAGUUUACUUGUUCAUUUGAAUUUCUGAAAUAAAUUAAGUUUUUGAUGAUAUUCUAAUUUAAUGAAAUACAAUUGUACCUGUUUAUUUUGGGUCAUUUGCACCACAUUAUUAAACCUAAGAUUCUGGGUUUCAAAUGUUCACAUUUUCGCUCAUUUAUAUUUAUUAUGCAGCAGCCUUGGCCCUGGAUAAGGUUAGAUUUUUUUUUUUUUUUGCUUGUUUUUUGCAUUGCAAACACUGAGCAAGUGCCACAGUGACUCACACCAAGUAUUCAUAUUUUCGUGUAGAAAAAGCAGACAUGCACUUGAGAAGGACUCGAGGUCAGUUCACCCCUUUGCAAAUUCAUACACUCAUUUCUUGCCACUGUAUUUGGUUAUUGUUUCAUUUUGUACCCCUAAGCAAACCAUGUCUCAUGUACUUAAUGUAUUGGUUAUCAAUACAAAUAAAGAACCUGCACAUG